UAAGUUUAAAAAAACUCGCUAAGAGCAGCAGCUUUAGCUAUUGAUUUCCUGGUGAGUUAAAAUUGAUUGAGGCUUGUGUUCUUGUGUAUCAUGUUCAAGAUCAUAGUUUCAACGCAAUGAAAUUUGGAUAAUCUUUAUAUUUAAAAUUUAUUAUCUUAACCUUACUUCAAGAACAAAGGUAACGCCUAGUUUUCAAACUGAAAGCUUAAUACUGAAGACGCCUUAGGAGACGGGGGCUCAGUCGCCUUGCAGCGGGAUGACCAAUGAUGAGUUCCGGCCAGCCUUAGCGAUGAUCUCUUCGUGAGCGUUUGAUGCAAGCCUGAUGACAGCAAGAGUGGCGCUAGACCUAGCCCGACAGGGGGGCUAAGAUAA